UAACUUUGCCAUGUUAAUUUACUCUAAAUUUGGGGGCUUUUCUUCUUUUUUGUAGCUGUUGUUUCUGAAACACCAAACUCAUCUCAGGAUGCCUUCCAACUUAGCAAACUGGGAGGAAAGGAUGAAAAAAAUCGUCAACUUCAAAAACACUCAACAGGCUCCCAGGAUGGUCCUGUGAGCGUUCCCAGCAGCAGUGACAGCAGGGAGGACCCACUCCACAAAGCUCUAAAGAAGAAGAGCAUCAAGUCCUCCACUGGUCGUUUGUUUGGCAAAAAGGAAAAGGGUCCGCCUGGACAAACUGGCAAAGAAUCACCAAGACAAGGUGGGCCGGUUUUAGGCAGCUGUCCUAACUGCUGGGAUUGGGAGAGCAUGCGCUUUUUCCUAUGUACCUGCCACAGGUGUCCAGUGCCCACAAGGAAUCAUGGCUGAGCAUUCUCCAGACAGCCCAGUCUGCCCACAUGUGAACCAGAGCAGAGCAGUGGACAUUCAUUUGGCGUGAAUGAAUAACCCUCUUAUAUGCUAAUUUAUACGCUUGAACAUUUAUAUGUGUUUGCUCGGAAGCUUACCCUUCAGAAAUUAUUCAGCUCUCUACCUGCAGAAUCUUCUUCCUAUUUGUGAAACAUAUAACUUUGCCAUGUUAAUUUACUCUAAAUUUGGUGAAUUUUCUUCUUUUUUGUAGCUGUUGUUUCUGAAGCCGAAAACUCAUCUCAGGAUGCCUUCCAACUUAGCAAAUUGGGAGGAAAGGAUGAAAAAAAUCGUCAACUUCAAAAACACUCAACAGGCUCCCAGGAAGGUCCUGUGAACAAUCCCAGUACCAGUGACAGCAGGCAGGACGCGCUCCACAAAGCCCCAAAGAAGAAGAGCAUCAAGUCCUCCACUGGUCGUUUGUUUGGCAAAAAGAAAAAGGUUCUGCCUGGACAAACUGGCAAAGAAUCACCAAGACAAGGUGGGCCGGUUUUAGGCAGCUGUGCUAACUGCUGGGAUUUGGAGAGCAUGAGCUUUUUCCUAUGUACCUGCCACAGGUGUCCAGUGCCCACAAGGAAUCAUGGCUGAGCAUUCUCCAGACAGCCCAGUCUGCCCACAUGUGAACCAGAGCAGAGCAGUGGACAUUCAUUUGGCGUGAAUGAAUAACCCUCUUAUAUGCUAAUUUAUACGCUUGAACAUUUAUAUGUGUUUGCUCGGAAGCUUACACUUCAGAAAUGAUUCAGCUCUCUACCUGCAGAAUCUUCUUCCUAUUUGUGAAACAUAUAACUUUGCCAUGUUAAUUUACUCUAAAUUUGGUGAAUUUUCUUCUUUUUUGUAGCUGUUGUUUCUGAAACAGAAAACUCAUCUCAGGAUGCCUUCCAACUUAGCAAAUUGGGAGGAAAGGAUGAAAAAAAUCAUCAACUUCAAAAACAGUAAA